rnacentral:lncRNA from 1 species
AGGAUUAUUUUAAAAGCUAAUUCAACUCUCAUCCUCAUUCAGUUGGCAGACAUGAAAGAAGGAAAUUUGGAAGCUCAGAGAACUCUGCCAAUGGUCCAAAGAGUAUAGCCCUCUAAAACUGUAAAUGUAAGGACUUCUGGCUGCUGAGAGCUUUGAGUUUGAGAAGUUGUCCUGCAAGAAGGAGUUCGUUCUUUGUUGUUCCUGGAGGCAAAAUUACUUCAACGGGUAGAGAUAACCUAAAAGAAUCUUUGUAAUCAUCAG